rnacentral:rRNA from 1 species
GUGUCAGCCGCCGCGGUAAUACCAGCACCCCGAGUGGUCGGGAUGAUUAUUGGGCCUAAAGCAUCCGUAGCCGGUGUAACAAGUCCUCCGUUAAAUCCACCUGCUUAACAGGUGGGCUGCGGAGGAUACUGUUACACUAGGAGGCGGGAGAGGCGAGGGGUAUUCCACGGGUAGGGGUAAAAUCCUCUGAUCCGGGGAGGACCACCAGUGGCGAAGGCGCCUCGCCAGAGCGCGCGCGACGGUGAGGGAUGAAAGCUGGGGGAGCAAACCGGAUUAGAUACCCGGGUAGUCCCAGCCGUAAACGAUGUAGGCUCGGUGAUGGACUGGCCCCGAGCCAGUCCAGUGCCGCAGGGAAGCCGUUAAGCCUACCGCCUGGGGAGUACGGCCGCAAGGCUGAAACUCAAAUGAAUUGGCGGGG